rnacentral:rRNA from 1 species
GACGAACGCUGGCGGCGCGCUUAACACAUGCAGGUCGAGCGAUGAAAUCUUAACAGAACCCUUCGGGGUGAAGAUAAGACGGAUUAGCGGCGGACGGGUGAGUAACACGUGAGUAACCUGCCUUUUACACAGGGAUAGCCUCAGGAAACCGGGAUUAAAACCUGAUGAAACUAUCAAAUCACAUGAUUAAGAAAGUUAAAACUCCGGUGGUAAAAGAUGGACUCGCGUCCCAUUAGCUAGUUGGUGAAGGUAACGGCCCACCAAGGCAACGAUGGGUAGCCGGCCUGAGAGGGUGAACGGCCACAUUGGAACUGAGAAACGGUCCAAACUCCUACGGGAGGCAGCAGUGGGGAAUAUUGCACAAUGGGGGAAACCCUGAUGCAGCGACGCCGCGUGAGCGAAGAAGGCCUUCGGGUCGUAAAGCUCUUUUAUAUGGGAAGAUAAUGACGGUACCAUAAGAAAAAGCCCCGGCUAACUACGUG